CCUACGGGAGGCAGCAGUGGGGAAUUUUGGACAAUGGGCGCAAGCCUGAUCCAGCAAUGCCGCGUGAGUGAAGAAGGCCUUCGGGUUGUAAAGCUCUUUUGUCAGGGAAGAAACGGUGAAGGCUAAUAUCCUUUGCUAAUGACGGUACCUGAAGAAUAAGCACCGGCUAACUACGUGCCAGCAGCCGCGGCAAUACGUAGGGUGCAAGCGUUAAUCGGAAUUACUGGGCGUAAAGCGUGCGCAGGCGGUUUUGUAAGUUUGUCGUGAAAUCCCCGGGCUCAACCUGGGAAUGGCGAUGAAGACUGCAAGGCUAGAAUCUGGCAGAGGGGGGUAGAAUUCCACGUGUAGCAGUGAAAUGCGUAGAGAUGUGGAGGAACACCGAUGGCGAAGGCAGCCCCCUGGGUCAAGAUUGACGCUCAUGCACGAAAGCGUGGGGAGCAAACAGGAUUAGAUACCCUGGUAGUCCGCGCCCUAAACGAUGUCUACUAGUUGUCGGGUUUUAAUUAACUUGGUAACGCAGCUAACGCGUGAAGUGACCGCCUGGGGAAGUACGGUCGCAAGNUUAAAACUCAAAGUGAGUGACGNGNGAGAGNGCGAGACGACGACGAGGAGGAGG
rnacentral:rRNA from 1 species